rnacentral:lncRNA from 1 species
AGUGCCAUCUUGUAACGGCGAAUGUGAGGGCGGCUCCCCACACCCUUCCAUCAUCUAAGGUCAUAUAAUCAUAGAUUUGGAUGAUUAGGACUUGAACAUCUCACAGGAAGGUGAAGAUUGCCUCCCAUUUGGAUCUACCCCCUUUCAUGUUUUUCUCUCGUUAGAAAACAAAUAGGCUUCUAAGGAAUAAUAAAAUAAAGGAAGAGAAGAGAAGAGGAGAGGAGAGGAGAGGAGAGGAGAGACGAGACGAGACGAGACGAGACGAGACGAGACGAGACGAGACGAGAAGAGAAGAGAAGAGAAGAGAAGAGAAGAGAAGAGGAAUUUUACACUGGAUGCAGUUACUCACCACCCAUGAAAAUGUAUCUCUUACUGCAUAUAUCAGAGCAACUUUUCAACUCCGUGUCCUCUACCAGCAACCAAUGAAUUUAAAUUUGUUCAUCUGUAUCCAUUUGUCGUCACAAAAGGACUACCAACUUAAUGGCUUGACCGAAUCUACUGAGUUAAAGCUAAUAAUACUGGAAGAGAGAACCAAAACGGUUAACUUCUAGUUGAUAAUUAUUUUUAGCUAAAGAAGACAGCACCUUUAUUCUCUACAAUAGGAUACUACAAAACAGUCUCUGUUCUUAGAAUGUGCUUGCUAAGAAUGGAGGUUGAUCCAAUGCAAAGACCUCAACCACUUGGGAAUAUUCUAUUCAUCACAAACCAAUGAAGUCUAAGCUUAUUUCCAGCUGAGACAUUUUGAGCAAAUUGUAUGUCAGUUUUUGUGUGGAGUACAAAAGUCCCAAGACCUUUUGACAAAUCCUGAAGUUUUCAUUUCAUUUGAAAAGGUCCAGAUGAAGACAAUCAGCUAUGUGUGUGCAUGUUCACUGUGUUCUAUCUGAUGUACUCCUAUAUUGCUAGAGAAGUUUUAUGUCUAGAAAUUUCUAUACUGCAAGACAUAAAUAAAAAAAUUAAAGAA